rnacentral:lncRNA from 1 species
AUCGCCGUGCUGAAUGUUCCUCUAUACAUGAUGCUUCUGUUUAAGGAUUGGGUUGACCGUUGAGAGUACCUUCUCAAAGCCUAGCUCUAUAAUUGCUAUUUAGUAGACUGUUAUACGCCGGAUCUGCUCUUGCAAAGCCGAUAUGAAGCACCGAAAUGUGCGUCAGAUAAUUGAUCAUUGCCACUCUGUGCAUCAUGUUUUUGUUGUGUUCCUGAACCCUAUGGCAGCACACCAAGUCGAAUUCAGGAGAGCAUAUCUCUGCUUCACAUGUUCAGGUUUACCCAUCGGCAGCCAGCGACAUACGUUUGGAUUGAACUCAUUUCCUAAAACAGAUUUUCAGAACAUGGGGGCAACGGAGCAAUUUAUUUUUAACCCCCCAAAACAAGUGCUUAAAAGGUUUGAAAAAAAUUGAUUUUUUUUACAUGAAUACACAUGCAUGUGGUCUAAGUACGUGUGAAAAUCCGUUCAAAAAUAUGCUGUAUUGUACGCAGCACAAAAAAGACAAAAAAGUCAGGCCCAAAAAGGAAAAAAACUGGCCCCAAAUUUGCAUGUAUUUUGUCAUUUUUGGAUAUCUCAUAUGCAAGCACGUAUAUUGGUGAAAUUUUGGCACGUCAUACUGCACUUCUAUAUGUGCAUGUACACAAAAUUUUGGAUUUUUCCAAGCCGUACAAAUCCGUUUUUUUGAACUUCAAAAUAAAGUGCUCCAUUGUCCCUGCGCUCAGAACUCAAUUUUAGCUCAUUUCCAUGCUUCUUCUCGUCAGCCUUGCCAGCGAUUGCAUCCACCGAGGGCGUGUUUGGUUGCAAUAGUGAACAGUAGCUGCAUUGCAUACACAUGUCAACCCAGACUGGCUCUGAAAAAACAACCUCAUAUGCGACAUCUGCAAGUUAUUUGGUUGCUUGCAUAUGGACUUCCUGCAUUAGGGGAUCAACUUUGGCACGUUGUUUGAUUGCCUGCAUUGUCUCGGCGCAUACAACUACGCGCUGUUUGGUUGCCCGCAAGGGGUAUGAUUAAGAGUUAGCACUUGCACUUAGCACACAGGGUUAAGAGCUAGCAGAGGAAGGGGGAGAAGAAAUGCAGUGUGCGCCGGACCAUGGCGACUGCGGUGGAUAGUGGUCGUGUCGCCGUGUUCGACAUGACGAGCAUGGAGUCGUGGACGAGCGACCCUGUCGGCGGCACGGCGAGUGACACCGUCGGCGAACUAGUUGCGGUGCUCGCGCAAAGACAGUCGACAGAGGAGGAGAAUGCAGUGCUCGCGCCAUGGUAUCGUCAGUGCAGUGGACGAGAGAGGAGGCCGAGAUGAUCGACGCCGGAAACGACUCCAGUGUAGUAGGGCGAGAGAGAGGAGGCCAAGAUGAUCGACCCCGUCGGCGGCGCGGCGAACUGCAGUGUGCACGGAUGCAGAGGACAUAAGAAAGCAGUGUGCGCGUCAUUGCAGCGUCAGUGCAGUAGGAGAACGAAAGAGAGUAAGCCGAGAUGAGUGACGCCGAAAACGACUCUAGUGUAGUAGGACGUGGGCAAGGAGAUCAAGGGGAAGUGCUUCGGCGUCGAGAGGGACGAAUAGGAGGGGUCUGAGCAGAGGACAGAGGCGUCAGUGCAGUAGACUGCUGUUCAAAGAGAGAUGAAGCUACGAUCGUUGAAACCAAAAACUUACAGCACGAAUGUUGUGAGGAACUGCGAGAUUAGGCUGCUGGUCAAAGGAAAUUUCAAAUGAUCGAUCGUGUGCAACGAAUCUGACAAAAUUCGUCAAGAAUAGCUCCAAACGGGAAGACGAAAUUAAGAACUUACAGCCGACGAAACUACGAACCGAUCGCCUGAAUGGAGCCGUAGCAUCGAGGUGCAUCUUUUUCGUGUAGAGCUUACCUCGAAUCGAAGCACCGUUGUGUAGAUAGGAGGGAGGAGAUUAGAUAGGAGCUUACUGGAGCUUGAAGAAGACCUCACCUAAUCACCUCGCAUCCCUCCCGUCUCCACUCGUGCAAGGGUCUGCUCGCUUGAGCUCGGCUCGGCCUGGCUCACGAGAAACUGCCGAUUCGAGCGUUUCUAACGAGCUAGGCUCUGGACUACUUUAAAAAGCGUGCGAUGCAGGCCCAGCAGUGAAACCAGGCAACCAAACAUGCCUCUUUCUUUCCGCGCGGGCCUAGUUGGGCUUGAUGCGGGCAACCAAACACGCCCCGAAUGUUUCUUGACAUUCCCAUCCGGUUGGGAGACAACUUGUCCCCAAGCUGCUGCUGUAAGAUGGCGAAUACUCAGGCCCCUGCUAGUUCUCUCAUGUCUGCCAUAUGUUUUGCACCCUUGAUUUUUUUAGGGCUUUUCCACUUUUGAUUUCUUCCCUUAUUUCCAUUUCGACCCCUUUUUAUAAUAUCAUUUGCUUUACAUUCGGUGGACCUAAUUUAUGGGCCAGACCGCAGCCCAGCCCGUGCGUGGAUCCAUGUCUCCUUUUCUUUUUGUCCUUCUCUAGAGGAAACAAACAGAAAUCAACAAGUCUCAUAUUGGUUUCACAUUAUGGCGGAUUAUAUGACAACCAAUGAGCCUUUCCACAUCCACAUAUAUUUUUGAUUUAUCAAUCCUUUUCAGUUUUCAUGGCUAUUUUUCAUAAGAAAUUAUAAUUAUGUUAGGGGUAACAUAAUUUAGAAAACCGCAAACUGGCCUUAAUUUGAACCUCAAAACAUUUUUUUCUUCUAUUUUUAACCUCACGGGGAAAUUUCUUCAAGAGAAUUAGUGAUAUCACAUUUUUUUUCUUGAAAUAGAGGGAUGUCUGUUCAUACUUCAUAGCAAAGAUUUUUUGUGCAAGGAUGUUCGGAAGAUCAACAUUUUACAUGGCGGUUACAGAUUCUUUCAGAAAAUAAUCAUUUCCGAACAGAACAUUGUAGUAUCAUUUUUCUAAAGGACUUAUCUUGUAAAUUAUACGGCCCACCAUUCUCACGAGCCAUGUACAUACAUUUCUGGAAUGGUGUUAAUUUCCAUUCUAACAAAGGAGUUGAAGUAUUUCAUGCGCACUCUUAAGUCUCAAUUACAUAUGUUUUAAAAGUGUCGAAGUAUUUCCAGUGCACUCUCAUUUUAUUCUUGUAUCAUCUUAUACUUGUUACACUUAUGGAAUGGUUUGUAUAUUCAUUCUUAAAUUAUUGUUCUUUCUCACAAAAUGAGUUACCAACAUAAAAUGAUCCAUUUUGCACCUUUUAAUUUGUUCUCUUAUUUUCAUUUGGUCUAUUUAUUUCGGAACAUCAUUUGACUUUGGUCCAUAUGAGUAUGAGUAUCUUUUCAACGAGACGCCUAAUUUACGGGCCGGGCCUGGAGGACUCCAUGUCUGCCCAUUUUGUUCCUUGUACUCCAUCGUCGCUUCGUCCUUGUUCCUGCACGUCUCUCUCGCCCUCCGAGCUCCCUCGGGGUCCAGGCGCCGGUGAGGUGGCGCUGCUCUCCACCAUGGCGGUGCCGGACGUGUCGUCGCGUGCGGAGUCCGGCGUCCGCCGCCUUUCCUGGACCGGGAUGUCGAGGCGCAUCCCGGCAGGGCAGAAAUAGCGGACGCUGCAGGUGAAGUAGUAGAACUUGGCCUCGCUGAGCAGGACGAAGGUAGUACCACGGUGAGUACCGCCGCCGGGGUAGCGGUGGAUAGGGUUUCUAGUGUCGCACAUGUCGAACCCGCGUUUGUUCACCUCCACCACGUCCAACUUCUUGUCCGGGUGAUAGAACGCUUCGCACGAUGACACAGAUUGAGUCAGCCGGAGAAACCACGGGAGAAAAAGAAACGUCGAAUCCUUCUACGUACCGAGGUAGUCGCCCUUGUAGAAGGGCCCAUUGAGCUUGGCCCAGCCGGAGAAGUUAUGGCGGGGCAUCCAAUCGAUGUAGACCCUGCGCUCAGCCAUCACCAUCGUCGCCGCCAGCAACAGCGCGGCCACCACUGUCUGCCGGCAGCCCAUCACUCCCUCCUCCGACUCCGAGUCAGAGAGCGGCCUCGGUGUUUGUUGUUGCUCGCUCCAAACGAAACGUGCCGAGCGGAGCGGGAAUGGGUUAUGGUUGUGGCCGUGGCUGCUGUCUUAAAAUGGAGGGUGGGAUGCGUCGAACGAGGACGCGUGUGGCGUGCUUUGUGUGGCUUCUACACGUGCAUACAUAAAGAUCAUAUAUUAGCAGAUAUAAACCACAAGCAAUCUAUCUAGACCAACGCCGAUCUAUCCACAAGAUAGAUGGAUAGAUCUAGAUAGAUUACCAACGCUGAUCUAUCCAGAUUGCUUUUGGUUGUCGAUCUAUCCACAAGAUAGAUUGCUUUUGGUUGAACAUAUGGCUAUUCCUCCGCCGUUUGAUUGAUUACACAACAUAUCAUCCAUGUUGUAGAUAGAUUACACAACAAAACGAUUUAGAUGUUAUUGGUUAAAUAUAUGACUAUUUCUCCACCGCUUGAUUAAUUUAUUUAAUGCAGUUGCGUGCCUGCUGGCUAGCACCGCUUUGACUAUGAACAUGUAAUGGCAUCUCCAAACACGCAAAUUCCCUCUCGCAUCCGUCCUCGGACAGAGGGACCAGUCCAUAGACACUGAUGCUGAAGGUCGUCAUCCAACGCUGUCCGCAUACGUUUGAACCAUGAUUCAAACUAAGCGGACCAAAUUCAUGCAACCCGGCUGAUAUUCAUGAAAGUUUCAAUAGAAAAUAGCAAAAACAUCCAUACAUAGCACACAAAUAAGUCUAGUACAACAAUGUCUCAAAUUUGAUGAGAUUAACCAGAUGUCCAACAAGUAUUUCAUCAACGGAUCAUGUCGUCCUACACAUACUGCCCCUUUGGUUUCAUCCAACAGUGUGCGUACGUAAAUGGCCGUCCCUCUAUCGUGUGGUGCAUCACAGCAACUCGUGCGAACUACAUAUGAGAGAAUGAAUGAUUUAAACAAGUUGAGCAAGAAGCAAAACUUAGGACCUUCCCCUUUGCCACGUUCAAUGGCCACCCUGCCUCCAACUGACCAACCAUCGUGAGAGCAUCUACACCUGGGCGCCCCAAACCCUGCUCAAAUGCCCGGGCGGCCCGCCCCGUCACUGACCGGCCAUGAAUUUUCGACCCAGACGGAUGCCUCAAAUGGGCCUCAAACGCCCGGGCUGACCGGCACCCCUCGUAUCCAGCCCAAAUAUGGGGCGGAUAUGGGGGCGCCCGGGCGCGUCCGCCACAACGGACCCGGCCCACGUUGGCCUACCCGACCCCACACAUAUUCGUCCACAUCCGCUCGUCGGACCAAACCCUAGCCACUUCACACUCCUUUCCCCUCCAUUCCCUCCGCCACCCGAGCUCACCUCCGGCGAUUUUCAUCCAUCUCCGGCAUGGCGGGCAGCGGAUCUGACUCCGACCAGUCCGGAUCCGUCGACUAGGGUGUCAUCCCGUGAAUAGCGGUUCGCAUUGCACUCCGAUGCUCUCGGGACGACAACGCCCGGCCGACGGACGGAUCUAUCCGGCGCAACUCCAUUGUGUCAGCUCAACGGGCGCUUGGGUCCUUUGGGGCUGGAUCAUCACGGUCCUGACAGCCAAAAAAACUCUCCUUCCCCAUCAUCGGUCGGGCAGACUAUGAGUCCUACCGGAAACGGGCAACCCACCGUGGGAAGGAGAGGAUAAGGGCCGCCAAGACCUGUAUCGCGGCGGAAAUGGCGGCAGCAGAGCGGCGCCAACGGCCGCAGAGGAGGAAGCCAUCCACGCCCGCAUUGUGAAGAAACGAUAGCGGAGGAACACGCACGCCCUUGCCCGAGAGUAGAAUUGGGCGGUCCGUGUCAUGGCCGAACUGCCACCGAAGGAGGAGAAGGAGGACAAUGACGGCGAGGACAGCUCCGGCGACGAGCAGAUCUGGCUUGACCCCUACUGCAUCUUCAACUGGUACUACCGCUGCAAGGGCACCGGGAAGGGCAAGGGAAGCCGUGAAUGAUCUCCACCAUAGCCAAACAUGCCCAAUUUUGGUAGUCCGAUGGCAUGUUUAGUGGUGUGAUGUAGUAGGCGGACGAUGUGUGUGCGUCAACAUAGUUGCAUGAGUUUGUGUGGAUUUGAGAUAUGAUAAUUGAGGUGUCCGGAUGUGGAUUGCAUUAUUUGAGGCAUGACCGGCAGUGUCCGCGGACGCCCCCGCGGGCGUUUGUGGGGCUGGAUUUGCAAAGUCCGACUAUAGAUGCUCUGACAAAACUUGGUGAUGUUGGUCUGAAUGGCGUACCGGCGAUACGAUAAUGACCUCACAUUACGUUCUUAAAUGAUGUGCAUGUCGUAGGGCACAAUGUGCUUUUGUGCGCGAAUGAUUUAUGCAUUUGCUGUCAGAAGGUCUCCCUCUGCUCCUGCCUACGAAAUUCACGGAUACAAACAACCAUGUAUCGCACAACAGUUCAUUCUUCAUGGUUGAGUACCUGCCAUCCUUCGUACUCUGAAAAAACGACAUGGCGUCCGAAGUUCAGUCGGUUGCCAUUAUCGCCGUGCUGAAUGUUCCUCUAUACAUGAUGCUUCUGUUUAAGGAUUGGGCUGACCGUUGAGAGUAGCUUCUCAAAGCCUAGCUCUAUAAUUGCUAUUUAGUAGACUGUUAUACGCCGGACCUGCUCUUGCAAAGCCGAUAUGAAGCACCGAAAUGUGCAUCAGAUAAUUGAUCAUUGCCACUCUGCAUCAUGUUUUUGUUGUGUUCCUGAACCCUAUGGCAGGGCACCAAGUCGAAUUCAGGAGAGCAUCUCUCUGCUUCACAUGU